rnacentral:lncRNA from 1 species
CUUCUUUCUCCUCCUCAUCACAAAAAUCCUUUCCUCGUAUACUGCUGGAUUUGGAAAUACAAGCAUGAAGAGGCUAAAUAUGGUGUGGCCACCACACUAUCCUUUCUGGGUGCAAUGGAGAAACAGAAAUUAAAUCCCUCUUUCACCAUCAGCAAAGAGACAUCAACACCUGCAUAAAUGGCUUAAUUUCAUCCCAAUCAAGAUGUCUAAUAUGGACAGGAUGAAUCAUUUUCAUUGGAUGCUUAAUCUUCCCUGCUGUCUGGAAAUAGAACAUAGAUAAAUUAAUUAGUAUGGCCAUCUGACAUCUACAUAGGAGAUUGAAACUGAGUUGAAAGGUCCUCUAAGUCUUGGAGAUACAGGUAUUAUACCUUAGUUAUUGAACAAGAGCAAGUAAAACAAAAAC